UUGAGUUGGCAUGCUUCCCCACGCUGGCUGGUGGGGGCUUGUUUCCCCACGCCGACUGGCGGGUAACCUCUGCUCGAAAUGUUUUCCUACAUUUGGUGCCCGAACAGGGACCCGACCAGGUGCGUGGUUUGGACGGCGAGAGCAGCUUUUUGCGCCGCCUGCUUAGCAGGGUUUCGCCGUGUUCCAGGGGCUGCAGUGCCUGGCCAGCGUAGCUCCAUCUGUCUUCACCGGUGAUUUGAUUGUGUUGCGACGAUGGAGAGGGAGCUAUUUCACUCAGGAGGAUUGGACUAUGGAUACAUGCUGUAACCAAAACCACCUGCAAUGAAAGGAAGAACAUUCUUGUAAUCUCAGAAGAUGGAUUCUGUUCUGCAGUUUGUGUCCGUGUGUUGGAAUUAUAUGUUACAUACUGCUUUUCCAUUGUGCCUGAUGCUCCUUGAGGAGGCGAAGUGGAGAGGUCACUUCUCCCUGGGAAUGGAUGACAGAACAGCUGUAGUAACCACCAUCAAGCUGCGUAUAGCAAGCUGAGGUUUUGACACUUCACGGAGACAGAUAGCAGAACAUAAAAAAAGAGGCUACUGAGAGGUUGAAAAGAGGACACAGAUGACAUCUAAUGCCUAAUGUGUCAAGGUUGCCAAGUAACAGGCUAGAGAUGUGUCAGUGAAAGCUGUUUCCAUGAGAGGAAUUCAGUUGGAUAUAGUUUUGAAUCACUUCUGUCUCUCUUGUCUUGCUCUCUUUUUUUUUAUAAAAAAUCUUUUGUGUUUAUAUCUAUGAAAAACAAUGUAGUAAAGCAAAGAAUAUAGUACAUGCUUACGCUGAAAGUAUGAAAAGGGACACCUGUGCUAAUUGUUUACGUCCCCCCUAAGCCUUGAAAAUGACGGAAUAAUUAAUGUAACAUAUCCAUUUUCAGCUUCCACACAUAAAUGCCUCAUAGAACGAGCUCUUAAAUAUGACUGCAUUUCCUGUGAAGUCACUUGGAUUAAAAAAGGUGCCAUAAGCAAAGCAUGAGUUUAACUGCUGAAUCCAUUCUAAAAGAAUGGAGUUGGAUUGGUUAGAGUAACAAGGUGCAUAGAAAUGGCCAGUGUGAAUUUUUGAGGAAGAAGUCAAGUCAAACCAGUAUAAUUAUUUUUUUCCUUUUCAGUGUGAGAACAGACUUGGUCAACAGUGAGGAAAGCUAUAGAUUGAUGCGUUAGAAAUCACUACUUUUUUGACACUCUGACUUUAUUGAUUCAUGACUCACUUUCCAGCUAUACCAGGAGAGGUUAGUAGUGGUCUGUACAGGACAAGAAAGUGGUCAAUAUCUCCUUUAAUGAUUCUCAUUAUGGAAUAAAGAGUCUCCUUAUAAAAUCCAAAGGAAAUGUUUGCAAGUACUUUGGUGGACAGGAUUGGAAUUCACAAUGUUCUUGAUAGACUGGAGAAACAGACUGAAAUCAAUAAGAUAAAAUUCAAUGAGGACUAAAGCAUGAAGCACUACAUGCCAGAAAGUAGAAUCAAAUCUCUUCCAAAUAAAAUUACUUCAGUGCAGAACGAAAGAGGAUUUUAGAUACAUAUUGAAUCAUAAAAUAAGGUAGUAGGCACAUCCCAAGGACUGUGUGCUUGUUUUGCAUUAAUCCAUGUAUCUUCCUUCUGCAUCUUAUGAUGAACAGUCAUUCUGAUCAAGGAAGUUCCAAGAAAAGGCAAAGUGCAUUUGUCUAAAUGCUUUGCUAACAGAUCUGUAACUACAAGGAUUGACAUGCCUCAGUUUGACCAGGGCAGCUGAGAUCCACCUGAGCUUGAUGUGUAAUUUAAGUAAAGAUAGUUGUAAUGAGUAUGCCACAGCCAAAUACCUAUGGUUUAUGCAUGAAGUGGGCAACUUUGAUGAGUAUCUGGCCAAUAAUGUGCUCUGUAUACGAAGAUGACAUUCAGAGGAAUGGAGGCCUACAAUUUCAUCAGAUUUAAACACGUAUUAUAUCAAGCCAUGUUUCAAUCUACUGAUAGUUUCAUAAACUUCACAAAAAAGUUGUGCCAUUAUCUGAAACAUGCAGUAGAGUAUGUAUUUUGGAAGGCUGCUUAGAAGCUCGUUGUGAUGCAUUCUCUGUAUGCACACCAGCUUACCCUAAAGAGUAUCACCAAGAGGAUAGAACAAGAAGACAAUUCCAUAAAUAAUAUCCAGUGACGUUUAACUGAAAUCUAGUAAAUGCAAUUAAGGUUACCCUUACAACAGGCUUCCUUCCUACCUCUAAUGUCUUUUUAUUUUAUUUUCCUUGGCAGUGUUUCUCAUUAGCAUCUUGCUAGAAAUGUGGAUCAUUGCAUUUUUUUAAAGUUGUAAAUUGUGCUCACUGUUAAAAAAUGAUACAGUUAUGUAAUUCAUGAAAUACAAAUACUUAGUAAAAAAGAUAUUGUUAUCAAAAUUUGGAUGAAACCAAAGCCUUCAGGAUUUUUUGACCAAUUUGAGAAAAUGAGAAUGAUUACAGUGGAAUGUCGUACAGCCGGGUUCAGUACUUUUAUUCAUCUGCUGGUUAUGUACAUGCAAGUCUCAUUUUGGCUAAUGAUAUGAAUCUUUUCUGUUUUACAGGAUUUCCUUUGUUUGAUUGUUCUGGUUUUUUUUUUGUUGUUGUUUGUUUGUUUGUUUUUUCAUCGUUGUACCUUAUUUUGUUUUCAUUGUGUAUCUGGUGCAAAGCAGGAUAGCUGCCAUAAAAGGAAUAAAAUAUAAAAUCUACCUGAA